rnacentral:rRNA from 1 species
AGUGAACGCUGGCGGUAGGCCUAACACAUGCAAGUCGAACGGCAGCACAGUAAGAGCUUGCUCUUACGGGUGGCGAGUGGCGGACGGGUGAGGAAUACAUCGGAAUCUACUUUUUCGUGGGGGAUAACGUAGGGAAACUUACGCUAAUACCGCAUACGACCUACGGGUGAAAGCAGGGGAUCUUCGGACCUUGCGCGAUUGAAUGAGCCGAUGUCGGAUUAGCUAGUUGGCGGGGUAAAGGCCCACCAAGGCGACGAUCCGUAGCUGGUCUGAGAGGAUGAUCAGCCACACUGGAACUGAGACACGGUCCAGACUCCUACGGGAGGCAGCAGUGGGGAAUAUGGGACAAUGGGCGCAAGCCUGAUCCAGCCAUACCGAGUGGGUGAAGAAGGCCUUCGGGUUGUAAAGCCCUUUUGUUGGGAAAGAAAAGCAGCAGGUUAAUACCCCGCUGUUCUGACGGUACCCAAAGAAUAAGCACCGGCUAACUUCGUG